GAGAGGCCUUCAGGACAAGAGGUUCGAGAUAGACUGUCUGGUGCAGUUGAAGCCUUUGUUAGACGGAAUGCCUCUGGGCAUGGUUUGCAUGGUGAUCACUCCAGGCACAGAUCUUCUGAAGAUGUGCCAUCAUCGAAAGAUGUGCAAGCUGAUUCCGAAAGGGCUCGCCC